AGAGUUUGAUCCUGGCUCAGAACGAACGCUAACGAUACCCAUUAUACAUGCAAGUCGAGCGGAGAUGAAAUUAGUUUACUAAUGGAUUCUUAGCGGCGAACGGGUGAGUAAUGUAUAGGAACAUACCUUUUAGUGGGGGAUAGGUACGGGAAACUGUAUGUAAUACCGCAUAAUCCAGAAAUGGUAAAGGCGUAAAAGUCGCUAAAAGAUUGGCCUAUAUCGGAUUGGUAGUUGGUGAGGUAAUGGCUCACCAAGCUUUAAUCUGUAGUUGGUCUGAGAGGAUGAUCAGCCACACUGGGACUGAGAUACGGCCCAGACUUUUAAGGAAGGCAGCAGUAGGGAAUGUUGGACAAUGGGGGAAACCCUGAUCCAUGGAUAUCGUGUGAGUGAAGAAGGUCUUCGGAUUGUAAAGCUCUUUCAGCAGGGAAGAUAAUGACGUUACCUGCAAAAGAAGCACCGGCUAACUCUGUGCCAGCAGCCGCGGUAAUACAGAGGGUGCUAGCGUUGUUCGGAAUUACUGGGCGUAAAGCGUAUGUAGACGGCUUUUUAAGUCUAUUGUGAAAUCCUGCAGCUCAACUGUAGAACUGCAAUAGAUACUAAAGAACUAGAGUAUGGGAGAGGUAAAUGGAAUUACUAGUGUAGAGGUUAAAUUCAAAGAUAUUAGUAGGAACACCAAAGGUGAAGACAGUUUACUGGAACAUUACUGACGUUGAGAUACUAAAGCGUGGGGAGCAAACAGGAUUAGAUACCCUGGUAGUCCACGCCCUAAACGAUGAAGACUAGAUUUUGGAAAAUUUUCAGAGUCGCAAGCUAACGCAAUAAGUCUUCCGCCUGGAGAGUAGUAUCGCAAGAGCGAAACUUAAAGGAACUGACGGGGACCUGCACAAGCGGUGGAGCAUUUGGUUUAAUUUGAUGUACGCAAAAAACCUUACCAGCUCUUGACAUGUUAGUCGUAAGUCUAGGUAACUAGGCUGUCAUAGAAUUUUCUGAUGGACUAACACAGGUGUUGCAUGGCCGUCUUCAGCUCGUGUCGUGAGAUGUUGGGUUAAGUCCUAUAACGAGCGCAACCCUUUUUCUUAGUUGCUAACAGGUAAUGCUGAGUUCUUUAAGAAGACUGACCGUGAUAAACGGUAGGAAGGAAAGGAUGAUGGCUGGUCCUCAUGGCCCUUAUGAGCUGGGCUACACAUGUGCUACAAUGGAUAGAACAAAGAGUUUGCGGGUAGGUGACUACCAUAUUAAGCAACGCAAGUUGUGAAAGCUAAUCUAUAAAUCUAUCCCUAAUUCGGAUUGAUCCCUGCAACUCGGGAUCAUGAAGUCGAAAUCGCUAGUAAUCGUGGAUCAGAACGCCACGGUGAAUAUGUUCUCGGGUCUUGUACACACCGCCCGUCGCGCUAUGGAAGUUGCUACUUUUUGAAAGCGGAACUCUAACCUGUAAAGGAAGAUACUGUCUAGAUAAGUGGUGAUGACUGGAGUAAAGUCGUAACAAGGUA
rnacentral:rRNA from 1 species